CACGUAUGGGGCGAGCGUUGUUCGGAAUUAUUGGGCGUAAAGGGCGUGUAGGCGGCCCGGUAAGUCUGGUGUGAAAGACCGCAGCUUAACUGCGGGACCGCGCUGGAAACUGCAGGGCUUGAGUUCUGGAGGGGAAGUUAGAAUUCCCGGUGUAGGGGUGAAAUCUGUAGAUAUCGGGAAGAAUACCGGUGGCGAAGGCGAGCUUCUAACCAUGAACUGACGCUGAGGCGCGAAAGCGUGGGGAG
rnacentral:rRNA from 1 species